UUGAUAAGGGCGGGAUCUAGUACCCGCGUGCACAGGGCUACAACCUGCCGCCUACCUGGGCCACGU
rnacentral:tRNA from 1 species